UACGUAGGGGGCAAGCGUUGUCCGGAAUCAUUGGGCGUAAAGCGCGUGUAGGCGGUUCGGUAAGUCCGCUGUGAAAGUCGGGGGCUCAACCCUCGAAUGCCGGUGGAUACUGUCGGGCUAGAGUGCGGAAGAGGCGAGUGGAAUUCUCGGUGUAGCGGUGAAAUGCGUAGAUAUCGAGAGGAACACCUGCGGCGAAGGCGGGUAGCUGGGCCGACACUGACGCUGAUGCGCGAAAGCCAGGGGAGCGAACGGG
rnacentral:rRNA from 1 species